rnacentral:rRNA from 1 species
UACGUAGGGGGGCAAGCGUUGUCCGGAUUUAUUGGGCGUAAAGAGCGUGUAGGCGGCCAGAUAGGUCAGCUGUGAAAACUCGAGGCUCAACCUCGAGACGUCGGUUGAAACCAUUUGGCUAGAGUCCGGAAGAGGAGAGUGGAAUUCCCGGUGUAGCGGUGAAAUGCGCAGAUAUCGGGAAGAACACCCGUGGCGAAGGCGGCUCUCUGGGACGGUACUGACGCUGAGACGCGAAAGCGUGGGGGAGCGAACAGG